UACCCAUCCCCACUGUGCCAACUAAAAAUGUCCCUCAGGAAGAUAAAACAAAAAAGCAAAUUUUCCAGUGGGAAGGGUAUUAUUCCCAAGCAUAUUUCACAAGAACAAAAUGUUGAUUGUGCUGAGAAUUUGGUGACAAAUCAAAGCUGGCAAAAUGCUGUGAACAAACAGAGAGCUACAUUGCAGUAGCAGUUAGGACAAAGAAGGUGACAGGUGAAGGAUGGUGGUUCAUAAGUUCACAGUUUCAUACAUCACACGUUGCUGCUAAAGAGGCUGCAGUACUGAAUCGCAGAACUGUAGGGGUUGGAAGGGACCUCUGGUGAUCAGCGUGUCCAAAUUGCCUGCCAGGGCAUGCUCAGCAGGCUGCACAGGUAGGCAUUCAGACGGGUCAUCCCUUCCAUGCCCACUGAACAUGCCCCUCAGUGCUACAUCAGCAUGGUUCCUGCACGCAUCCAGGGACGGUGACCCCACGGCCUCCCCGGGCAACCUGUUGCAGUGCACAUCCACUCCCAAAUCCCCGAGGAAAGCAUUUCCCCUACGAGUUAAUCUCAUCUCCUCUUUUAGAUUAAAGCUUGUUCAGCUUGUCCAAUACCUAUCAAACCACGUAGAAAGUCACUCACCACGCACGCUAGAUACCAAAUAUGCUGUUGACUUGCAAAUGUUUACUAGACUGUCUAGAAACCUAGGCUGGACUCAGCCAAGAAAUGCUAGCGUGGCUCCAGCGCUGCAGCCUUGGCCAAGGGACAUCUCCGCUCGUGGCUCUGGCCGGGGCAGCAGUGCCAGCAGGUUGAGGGAAGCCAUAAUUCCUGACGUGACGCUGCACUGCCUGCCAGAGCCUCUGCUCUGUUGCCUGGAGACCCAGGCCCACACCCUCUGUGAGGCGGUGACCGUGAUGUCACAGUGGGUGUCAGGGAGCGGCCAUUGUGACGCGUGAGGCUUGGAGCAGAGCAAAGGCUGCGGGGCUCAGCCCGAGCGUCAGUGCGGCCUGGCGAGGCGCAGAGAGAGCAGGGACUCUUGCAGUGCUCGCUGUUAACGCACAUGAUGUCCGACAGGAAGAGGAAGGCCUCCAGCUCGGAGGAGCCAGGUGAGAGCACAGCAUCCCAAUGCUGGGCAGAGGGGUUCUGGGCCUCUGCCUGCGGCUGAGAGCGGAGAGGGGAGGAAGGGGCAGGCAGGAGCUCCCAGGCAGGCAUGGGGCUGGGCCCCUCUGCUCCUUGACAAGGGGGCCC
rnacentral:lncRNA from 1 species